rnacentral:rRNA from 1 species
GGUAAUUUUCCGCAAUGGGCGAAAGCCUGACGGAGCAAGACCGCGUGGGGGAAGAAGGCUCUUGGGUUGUAAACCCCUUUUCUCUGGGAAGAACGCAAUGACGGUACCAGAGGAAUCAGCAUCGGCUAACUCCGUGCCAGCAGCCGCGGUAAGACGGAGGAUGCAAGCGUUAUCCGGAAUGAUUGGGCGUAAAGCGUCCGCAGGUGGCAGUUCAAGUCUGCUGUCAAAGACCGGGGCUUAACCUCGGAAAGGCAGUGGAAACUGAACAGCUAGAGUAUGGUAGGGGCAAAGGGAAUUCCUGGUGUAGCGGUGAAAUGCGUAGAGAUCAGGAAGAACAUCGGUGGCGAAGGCGCUUUGCUGGACCAUAACUGACACUCAGGGACGAAAGCUAGGGGAGCGAAUGGGAUUAGAUACCCCAGUAGUCCUAGCCGUAAACGAUGGAUACUAGGUGUUGUCUGUAUCGACCCGGACAGUGCCGUAGCUAACGCGUUAAGUAUCCC